UAACACGAAAACGACGCACCUGUGACAGCUGUUGAUAAGAUGAACGGUAUAUAAGUGCCGACAGUCUUCCACUGCUUCAUACGUAUUCUUACAGCAAGAUGAUGACCAAGUUGGUUGUGUUCUCUCUACUUGUUGCCACUGCGCUUGUGACCGUCUCGGCUGCGGUUACAUGCGCAAGUUUGGUGAGUGCGUCAUCCCCAUUCAAUGAGGAGUAUACUUGUAAUGCCUUCUGCGAAGACGAUAACAAAGACGCGGGAAAGUGCAUUAACGGAAAUUGCAUGUGCAGGACCGGUAGCACGUGGUCUGGUUACGUUGUUGGCUAACAAGCCAGGAAGGAGACUAAGACAAAGUGAUGUCAGUGAUAUGUAUUUAUCAAAUAAAACUUUUACAAUUUUCA